rnacentral:misc_RNA from 1 species
GAAAUGCGAUAAGUAAUGUGAAUUGCAGAAUUCAGUGAAUCAUCGAAUCUUUGAACGCACAUUGCGCCCGCCAGUACUCUGGCGGGCAUGCCUGUUCGAGCGUCAUUUCAACCCUCAAGCUCUGCUUGGUGUUGGGGAUCGGCGUAGUGCCUUCGGGCGCUGCCGUCCCCUAAAUCUAGUGGCGGUCCCGCUGUAGCCUCCUCUGCGUAGUAGUUUUCUCCUCGCAAUGGAAUCUCGGCGGUGCCUUGCCGUUAAACCCCCAACUUCUGAAAGGUUGACCUCGAAUCAGGUAGGAAUACCCGCUGAACUUAA